rnacentral:rRNA from 1 species
GGGUUGUGAGGUUAAGCGAACAAGCGUACACGGUGGAUGCCCUGGCAGUCAGAGGCGAUGAAGGACGUGCUAAUCUGCGAAAAGCGCCGGUAAGGUGAUAUGAACCGUUAUAACCGGCGAUGUCCGAAUGGGGAAACCCGGUGCACUUCGGUGCAUCAUCGUUAGCUGAAUACAUAGGCUAACGAGGCGAACCGGGGGAACUGAAACAUCUAAGUACCCCGAGGAAAAGAAAUCAACCGAGAUUCCCCCAGUAGCGGCGAGCGAACGGGGAACAGCCCAGAGCCUGAAUCAGCUUGUGUGUCAGUGGAACGGUCUGGAAAGGCCGGCGAUACAGGGUGACAGCCCCGUACACGAAGGCACACAGGCUGUGAGCUCGAUGAGUAGGGCGGGACACGUGAUAUCCUGUCUGAAGAUGGGGGGACCAUCCUCCAAGGCUAAAUACUCCUGACUGACCGAUAGUGAACCAGUACCGUGAGGGAAAGGCGAAAAGAACCCCGGCGAGGGGAGUGAAACAGAACCUGAAACCGUGUACGUACAAGCAGUGGGAGCCUUCGUAAGAGGGUGACUGCGUACCUUUUGUAUAAUGGGUCAGCGACUUAUAUUCUGUAGCAAGGUUAACCGUAUAGGGGAGCCGAAGGGAAACCGAGUCUUAACCGGGCGUUAAGUUGCAGGGUAUAGACCCGAAACCCGGUGAUCUAGCCAUGGGCAGGUUGAAGGUUGGGUAACACUAACUGGAGGACCGAACCGACUAAUGUUGAAAAAUUAGCGGAUGACCUGUGGCUGGGGGUGAAAGGCCAAUCAAACCGGGAGAUAGCUGGUUCUCCCCGAAAGCUAUUUAGGUAGCGCCUCGUGAAUUCAUCUCCGGGGGUAGAGCACUGUUUCGGCUAGGGGGCCAUCCCGGCUUACCAACCCGAUGCAAACUGCGAAUACCGGAGAAUGUUAUCACGGGAGACACACGGCGGGUGCUAACGUCCGUCGUGAAGAGGGAAACAACCCAGACCGCCAGCUAAGGUCCCAAAGUCAUGGUUAAGUGGGAAACGAUGUGGGAAGGCCCAGACAGCCAGGAUGUUGGCUUAGAAGCAGCCAUCAUUUAAAGAAAGCGUAAUAGCUCACUGGUCGAGUCGGCCUGCGCGGAAGAUGUAACGGGGCUAAACCAUGCACCGAAGCUGCGGCAGCGACACUAUGUGUUGUUGGGUAGGGGAGCGUUCUGUAAGCCUGUGAAGGUGUGCUGUGAGGCAUGCUGGAGGUAUCAGAAGUGCGAAUGCUGACAUAAGUAACGAUAAAGCGGGUGAAAAGCCCGCUCGCCGGAAGACCAAGGGUUCCUGUCCAACGUUAAUCGGGGCAGGGUGAGUCGACCCCUAAGGCGAGGCCGAAAGGCGUAGUCGAUGGGAAACAGGUUAAUAUUCCUGUACUUGGUGUUACUGCGAAGGGGGGACGGAGAAGGCUAUGUCGGCCGGGCGACGGUUGUCCCGGUUUAAGCGUGUAGGCUGACUUUCCAGGCAAAUCCGGAAGGUUAAGGCUGAGGCGUGAUGACGAGGCACCACGGUGCUGAAGUGACAAAUGCCCUGCUUCCAGGAAAAGCCUCUAAGCAUCAGGUAACAUCAAAUCGUACCCCAAACCGACACAGGUGGUCAGGUAGAGAAUACCAAGGCGCUUGAGAGAACUCGGGUGAAGGAACUAGGCAAAAUGGUGCCGUAACUUCGGGAGAAGGCACGCUGACAUGUAGGUGAAGCCCCUGCGGGUGGAGCUGAAGUCAGUCGAAGAUACCAGCUGGCUGCAACUGUUUAUUAAAAACACAGCACUGUGCAAACACGAAAGUGGACGUAUACGGUGUGACGCCUGCCCGGUGCCGGAAGGUUAAUUGAUGGGGUUAUCGCAAGAGAAGCUCCUGAUCGAAGCCCCGGUAAACGGCGGCCGUAACUAUAACGGUCCUAAGGUAGCGAAAUUCCUUGUCGGGUAAGUUCCGACCUGCACGAAUGGCGUAAUGAUGGCCAGGCUGUCUCCACCCGAGACUCAGUGAAAUUGAACUCGCUGUGAAGAUGCAGUGUACCCGCGGCAAGACGGAAAGACCCCGUGAACCUUUACUACAGCUUGACACUGAACAUUGAGCCUUGAUGUGUAGGAUAGGUGGGAGGCUUUGAAGCGUGGACGCCAGUCUGCGUGGAGCCGACCUUGAAAUACCACCCUUUAAUGUUUGAUGUUCUAACCUGGCGCCGUGAUCCGGCGUGGGGACAGUGUCUGGUGGGUAGUUUGACUGGGGCGGUCUCCUCCCAAAGUGUAACGGAGGAGCACGAAGGUCAGCUAAUCCUGGUCGGACAUCAGGAGGUUAGUGCAAUGGCAUAAGCUGGCUUGACUGCGAGAGUGACGGCUCGAGCAGGUGCGAAAGCAGGUCAUAGUGAUCCGGUGGUUCUGUAUGGAAGGGCCAUCGCUCAACGGAUAAAAGGUACUCCGGGGAUAACAGGCUGAUACCGCCCAAGAGUUCAUAUCGACGGCGGUGUUUGGCACCUCGAUGUCGGCUCAUCACAUCCUGGGGCUGAAGUAGGUCCCAAGGGUAUGGCUGUUCGCCAUUUAAAGUGGUACGCGAGCUGGGUUUAGAACGUCGUGAGACAGUUCGGUCCCUAUCUGCCGUGGGCGCUGGAGAAUUGAGGGGGGCUGCUCCCAGUACGAGAGGACCGGAGUGGACGCAUCACUGGUGUUCGGGUUGUCAUGCCAAUGGCACUGCCCGGUAGCUAAAUGCGGAAGAGAUAAGUGCUGAAAGCAUCUAAGCACGAAACUUGCCCCGAGAUGAGUUCUCCCUGAGACU